AUUGAACGCUGGCGGCAUGCCUUACACAUGCAAGUCGAACGGCAGCACGGGAGCAAUCCUGGUGGCGAGUGGCGAACGGGUGAGUAAUAUAUCGGAACGUGCCCAGUCGUGGGGAUAACGUAGCGAAAGCUACGCUAAUACCGCAUACGAUCUAUGGAUGAAAGCGGGGGAUCGCAAGACCUCGCGCGAUUGGAGCGGCCGAUAUCAGAUUAGGUAGUUGGUGAGGUAAAGGCUCACCAAGCCGACGAUCUGUAGCUGGUCUGAGAGGACGACCAGCCACACUGGGACUGAGACACGGCCCAGACUCCUACGGGAGGCAGCAGUGGGGAAUUUUUGGACAAUGGGCGCAAGCCUGAUCCAGCAAUGCCGCGUGCAGGAUGAAGGCC
rnacentral:rRNA from 1 species